rnacentral:lncRNA from 1 species
GCGACGGGGGCUUGGCCUCGAACCUCGCCCUUCAAAUCUGAACCCACCCUGGGAUCCGACCUGCUCAAUCAGGAAAGGAACCGGGUGGGCUCCAGCUGAGACUCCUCCCGGACCCGGACCCGCCCCACCCUCAGUUCCAGGCGGGGCCUCCGCCCCAAGCCCCGCCUCAGCCCCGCCCCUCGGAGAGCGGCAGCCAGAGGCAGGAGGGUCCCGGCUUCUACCAGGGGCUUCGGUCUCACGGACUGUCGCAUUUGCAUUUAAUCACUGAGUCUCACCCAGACUGAAGUGCAGUGGCACAAUCUCGGCUCACUCACCGCAGCCUCUGCCUUCCCGGUCCAAGCAAUUCUCCUGCCUCAGCCUCCCAAGUGGCUGGGAUUACAGGUAUGUGCCAUCACGCCCGCUAAGUUUUGUAUUUUUAGUAGAGACAGGGUUUUGCCACUGGUGAUUAAUCCUCCCAAGAAUGCCUCCUGUCACAUUUGAUCCCUGCGGUGGAAAAGUUAAAUAUUAAAUUUGAACUCAAUUGAACGUGGACAGAAACAAUGGUCACCAAGUCCCAGAACAGGUUGUGUGAGCCCCUUGAGGUGUUCGUCCAGCACUGUUUUGGAGAAAUCUCUAUUUCAAUCUAUUCCUACACGUUAGUUAUUGAAAAACAAUAGACAAUUGCAAAAAUAAGUUGAAUGUUUUGUGUUCCUUGAGCCCAGUCGCCAAGGGCCCCGUGACUGGGCCUCAUGCCAAACAACUCGUUACAAAAAGAGCUAGGGUCCCAGACUGCGCCAAAACUUCAUGAGACCUCUCCUCGUCUGUGCAUGGAUGAGUGGCCAACUCUGGAGCCCAGGCUGUUGCUUCUCAGUCUGGUGGUGAAUCCUCUAUAGUCUUAUGAGUGCGGUGUUCAACUCUGGAACCCAGGCUGUUGCUUUCCAGUCUGGUGGUAAAUCCUCCAUAGUCUGGUGAAUGUAAACAUCUUUUCCCUUCUCCCCUUCCCAUUGCAAUUUGCUUAUUAUAUCAAUCUGUUUAUUAUAUCAUUUGCUUACUUAUUAUAUAAUUUGCUUAUUAUAUUAAUUUGCUUGUACCAUUUGCUUAUUAUAUCUCCAUUGCCAUUUACAUGGGAUAAAGCUUGUUUACCCUUAAAGGUAUUGUGUGUGUCUCUUCUUCUCCCCUUGUGCGUUUCCUGCACAGAACAACCCCGCAGCCAAAUUUCUUUUUUCUAUAAAGUUUUCCCUUACAACCCCGCCACCCCCACCGCCCAACAAAGUAUGCCUCUUGUAUGACAUACUCCUAGUGCUUGUUGAUAUAUAGCAACCACCUCUUUGCAUUUGCCAUUUUUUUUUGUUUUUGAGAUAGUGUCUCACUCUGUCACCCAGGCUGCAGCGCAAUGGCGUGAUGUCGGCUCACUGUAACCUCCACUUCCUGGGCUCGUGCCAUCCUCCCACCUCAGCCUCCCAAGUAGAUGGGACUACAGGUGCGUACCACCAUGCCCAGCUAAUUGUUUCUGUAUUUUUGGUAAAGACAGGGUUUCACAUGUUGUCCAAGAUGGUCUCGAACUCCUGAACUCAAGUGAUCCACCUGCCACGACCUCCCAAAGUCCUGGGAUCACAGGUGUGAGCCACUGCGUCCAGGCUGUAUUUGCCACUAUUUGUUUACAUGUUUGUUUCUGCUACUGGACUGGACUCUUUGAUGGUAGUUGUGUUUUAUAUUAUUGCCAUUGUCAAGCACAUAUUACGUGCUUGAUAUCUGAUGAAUAAAUGAAUGAAAAAAAUUAAUGAAGAAGCAAAGGAGCAACAACAAGGAAAGGAAGGAACAAUACACAGUUGCUUCUUAAACUAAUACUAUUGCAAAGAAAGGGGUAACAAGAUUGGGUUUAGAGAAAGCCCCAGUCUGGAGCUGACGAUGGAUAGGAGGGGAAUCUCUAGUUGGAAAAAUAUAUUAAAAGUGCUCUCUUAAUCAUAUGGAUAAAGAAUUACAUGAGGUCAGGGAGCAGGGAGGGAUAGCAUUAGGAGAUAUACCUAAUGUAAAUGAUGAGUUAAUGGGUGCAGCACACCAACACGGCACAUGUAUACAUAUGUAACAAACCUGCAUGUUGUGCACACAUACCCUAGAACUUGAAGUAAAAUAAAAUAAAUAAAUAAAUAAAAGAAAUUAAUCCUAAAAAAAAAAAAAAAAGAAUUACAUGAGGUCAGUCACAGUGGCUCACACCUAUAAUCCCAGCAUGUGGAAAGGCCAAGACGGGAGGAUUGCUUGAGGCCAGGAGUUGGAGACCAGCCUAGGCAACAUAGUGAGACCCCCUCUCUAAAAAAAAUUUAAAUAUAUAUAUAUGUAUACACACACAAACACACACACAUAUAUAUGUGUGUAUAUGUAUAUAUGUGUGAGCAUUAGAUGAACCAGUACUCAAGGAAACCUACCUCCAUUUGGGGGCUGACUGAGGGUAAAGAGGAGAGGAGAGUCUGUCAACAUAAUCUGGUUGCGGUCUCAGCCCUAGAAACUGUGUGCUCCAUAAAGGCUGAUCAAGUUACAGCCUGUAUGAAGUGCACUGAGGGUCACAAUGGAAACCCUUUCCUGUCACAAAACAACUCAGCAGGUUGACACAGAAUGGUGUUCAUGCCAAAUAGGCCAGACAGGCCACAAUUCUCAGGGUUAGGCAAUAGAGGCAGAGACUCGGUCUCUAGAAGGCCAUUGCUUAAGUGCACGUGUUCUCUCAGGAUAAUGGAAAAACUCUGGGUGUCUCAAGAGGAGCCUAGAAGAUACCUGCUUAAUGGAAUCAAAUAGAUUUGAUCUCUACCAUUAGAACCUUAAAUUCUUCAGCUAAUUAUCACCUUAGAGGGCUCAAAGAGCUUAUUUCAAAAGGGAUGAGGCAGGCCAGGCACAGUGGCUCAUACCUGUAAUCCCAGCACUUUGGGAGGCUGAGGCAGGCAGAUCACGUGAAUCAGGAGUUCAAGAUCAGCCUGG